AUCACUUCUCAAAGUUCGCUUUGAUUAAGUGUAGUAUCUGUUCUAGAAAGUUUAAUAGCUUUCUGUUACCUCAUGUAGUGUAACAAAGUAUUAGAUAAUUUAUUUUCAGAGGUAUGAUUGACAUUGAGAAUAUUGACUUGUCAUAUUCGUCAUUCACUUGGUAUUUGCUCUGUAUUGCACCAAUAUCAGAGAUUAAAAAGUUCCCC
rfam:Dictyostelium lacteum strain TK F4PJNLW01B0TO9, whole genome shotgun sequence.